rnacentral:rRNA from 1 species
GAUGAACGCUGGCGGCGUGCCUAAUACAUGCAAGUCGAGCGAACGGACGAGAAGCUUGCUUCUCUGAUGUUAGCGGCGGACGGGUGAGUAACAAGUGGAUAACCUACCUAUAAGACUGGGAUAACUUCGGGAAACCGUAGCUAAUACCGGAUAAUAUUUUGAACCGCAUGGUUCAAAAGUGAAAGACGGUCUUGCUGUCACUUAUAGAUGGAUCCGCGCUGCAUUAGCUAGUUGGUAAGGUAACGGCUUACCAAGGCAACGAUGCAUAGCCGACCUGAGAGGGUGAUCGGCCACACUGGAACUGAGACACGGUCCAGACUCCUACGGGAGGCAGCAGUAGGGAAUCUUCCGCAAUGGGCGAAAGCCUGACGGAGCAACGCCGCGUGAGUGAUGUAGGUCUUCGGAUCGUAAAACUCUGUUAUUAGGGAAGAACAUAUGUGUAAGUAACUGUGCACAUCUUGACGGUACCUAAUCAGAAAGCCACGGCUAACUACGUG